rnacentral:tRNA from 1 species
GUCCCUGUAGCUUAAAUUAAAGCAUGGCACUGAAGAUGCCAAGACGGAACACUACCCCAAGGAC